CCAUCCUGCAGAUGAAGGUUUAACCUCACAGCUCAGAGUCACUGAGGCUCCAGGACUCAGCCAUGAUGGAGACACAAACAGUGUGGGCUGUGGUGCAUGGA